rnacentral:rRNA from 1 species
CCUACGGGAGGCUGCAGUGAGGAAUAUUGGUCAAUGGGCGCGAGCCUGAACCAGCCAAGUAGCGUGAAGGAUGACUGCCCUCCGGGUUGUAACCUUCUUUUAUAAAGGAAUAAAGUGAGGCACGUGUGCCUCUUUGUAUGUACUUUAUGAAUAAGGAUCGGCUAACCCCGUGCCAGCAGCCGCGGCUAUACGGGGGAUCCGAGCGUUAUCCGGAUUUAUUGGGUUUAAAGGGAGCGUAGAUGGGUUGUUAAGUCAGGUGUGAAAGUUUGGGGCUCAACCGUAAAAUUGCAAUUGAUACUGGAAGGCUGGAGUGCAGGUGAGGUAGGCGGAAUUCGUGGUGUAGCAGUGAAAUGCUUAGAUAUCACGAAGAACUCCGAUUGCGAAGGCGACUUACUAAACUGCCACUGACAUUGAUGCGCGAAAGUGUGGGUAUCAAACAGGAUUAGAUACCCCAGUAGUC